GUGCUAAGGUAGCAUAAUAGUUUGUCUCUUAAUUAGAGUCUGGAAUAAAAGAUUUCAUAAGCUUUAACUUUUUUCUUUUAUUAAAUUUAAUUUAAUUAUUGAGUGAAAAGGCUCAAAUUUACAAAAAAGACGAUAAGACCCUAUAAAACUUUAUUAAAGAUCAUUUGUAUAAGUAAUAUAUAAAUAACUAUUAUAAAUAAUGGAUAAUUUAGUUGGGGUGACUAUAAUUAAAUACUAAACAUUUACAUUUUUUAAUGAUUAAAAUCAGAUAAAUUUUGAUCCUAAAAAGAUUAAUUGAGAAAGUUACUUUAGGGAUAACAGCGUAAUUUUUUUAGAGAGCUCAUAUCGAUAAAAAA
rnacentral:rRNA from 1 species